GCCGUCGUCGGCGACGGUGAUGUCGUCGGCGAUCCGGACGCCGUGGCCGAGGCGGUCGGCGCCGCACCACUGGAUCGCCUCCCAGAUCGACGGCA
rnacentral:tRNA from 1 species